rnacentral:rRNA from 1 species
AUUGAACGCUGGCGGCAGGCCUAACACAUGCAAGUCGAACGGAGUGGCGGACGGGUGAGUAAUGUCUAGGUAUGUGCCUGGUAGUGGGGGAUAACGACCGGAACCGGUAGCUAAUACCGCAUACUAUUGGAUUCGCCUAGGUCGGAUUAGCUAGUUGGGGGGGUAAAGGCCUACCAAGGCGACGAUCCGUAACUGGUUUGAGAGGAUGACCAGUCACACUGGAACUGAGACACGGUCCAGACUCCUACGGGAGGCAGCAGUGGGGAAUAUUGGACAAUGGGCGAAAGCCUGAUCCAGCCAUGCCGCGUGUGUGAAGAAGGUCUUCGGAUUGUAAAGCACUUUAAGUUGGGAGGCGUUACCAGCAGAAUAAGCACCGGCUAACUUCGUGCCAGCAGCCGCGGUAAUUC